rnacentral:rRNA from 1 species
ACGAACGCUGGCGGCGUGCCUAAUACAUGCAAGUCGAGCGCAGGAAGCCGGCGGAUCCCUUCGGGGUGAAGCCGGUGGAAUGAGCGGCGGACGGGUGAGUAACACGUGGGCAACCUACCUUGUAGACUGGGAUAACUCCGGGAAACCGGGGCUAAUACCGGAUGAUCAUUUGGAUCGCAUGAUCCGAAUGUAAAAGUGGGGAUUUAUCCUCACACUGCAAGAUGGGCCCGCGGCGCAUUAGCUAGUUGGUAAGGUAAUGGCUUACCAAGGCGACGAUGCGUAGCCGACCUGAGAGGGUGAUCGGCCACACUGGAACUGAGACACGGUCCAGACUCCUACGGGAGGCAGCAGUAGGGAAUCAUCCGCAAUGGGCGAAAGCCUGACGGUGCAACGCCGCGUGAACGAUGAAGGUUUUCGGAUCGUAAAGUUCUGUUAUGAGGGAAGAACAAGUGCCGUUCGAAUAGGUCGGCACCUUGACGGUACCUCACGAGAAAGCCCCGGCUAACUACGUGCCAGCAGCCGCGGUAAUACGUAGGGGGCAAGCGUUGUCCGGAAUUAUUGGGCGUAAAGCGCGCGCAGGCGGUCUCUUAAGUCUGAUGUGAAAGCCCACGGCUCAACCGUGGAGGGUCAUUGGAAACUGGGGGACUUGAGUGUAGGAGAGGAAAGUGGAAUUCCACGUGUAGCGGUGAAAUGCGUAGAUAUGUGGAGGAACACCAGUGGCGAAGGCGAC